rnacentral:rRNA from 1 species
CCAAUAGCGUAUAUUAAAGUUGUUGCAGUUAAAAAGCUCGUAGUUGAAUUUCGAGAUCAGUACGCUGGUCGUGCCUUCGGUAUGUACUGGUGUCACUGGUUUCUCCCUUCUGAAGAACCGUUAUGUCAUUAAGUUGGUGUGGCGGGGAAUCAGGACUGUUACUUUGAAAAAAUUAGAGUGUUUAAAGCAGGCUCGCGCUUGAAUACAUUAGCAUGGAAUAAUGAAAUAGGAAGGUUGAUCCUAUUUUGUUGGUUUCUAGGAUCGAAGUAAUGAUUAAUAGGGAUAGUUGGGGGCAUUAGUAUUCAAUUGUCAGAGGUGAAAUUCUUGGAUUUAUUGAAGACUAACUACUGCGAAAGCAUUUGCCAAGGAUGUUUUCAUUAAUCAAGAACGAAAGUUAGGGGAUCGAAGACGAUCAGAUACCGUCGUAGUCUUAACCAUAAACUAUGCCGACUAGGGAUCGGACGAUGUUAAUUUUUUAAUGACUCGUUUGGCACCUUACG